rnacentral:RNase_P_RNA from 1 species
AUUCUCGGAUAAUCGCUAUAAAUUUAUGUUUAUAGAGGAAAGUCCAUGCUCACACGCAUCUGAGAUGAGCGUAGUGUUCGUGCUUGGUGAAACAAUAAGCCAAGGCAAUUCGUAUUGAACGUUUGACGGCAGCAAAACAACCUAAGUCAUAUGAUAUGGUUUAAUAUGCUUGAAAGUGCCACAGAGACGGAGCUUAUAUAGAAAUAUAUGAGGUGGAACGAGGUAAACCCCACGAGUGAGCAAUCCAAAUUAGGUAGGAGCACUUCUUGAACGGAAAUGAACGUAGAUAGAAGACAUGUAUAACAUGUAGACAGAUGAUUAUCACCAACGUACGAGUGUAACUAGUACACGUUUGCAGUACUAUGGUACAGAACAUGGCUUAUAGAG